rnacentral:lncRNA from 1 species
ACAGUCCGGAUCCGUUCCCUCCUCAGACACGAUCGGACGAUCGCAAUUAAACACGAUGAACGGUCAGAUUCGUUCUCUCUUUAAACGCGAUCGUACGGUUCAGAUCAAAUCUCAAUGAACGGUCUAGAUUUAUUUCUAUUUAAACGCGAUCGGACGAUCAAGAUCAAAUAUAAUAAAUGGUCCAGAUUAAAGGGAGACGAGUAUAAAUAUCUCACU